rnacentral:lncRNA from 1 species
AUUUAUAAUAAAUUGAAUCUUUUGCAGAAUUAUAUGGAUUUGUAAAAUCUAAAAAUUUCAAACCGUCAACAUAUUGUAAAGUGACAGAGAAACUACUAUCUCGUUUCGGAAACAAGAAUGUAAUUACAUUUAUGUUCGUGGAAAUAUUCCUUUCUCUUUUAACAAGGCUUGUAAUUGGUGAAAAUUCCUGUUAUCGCUUCUAUUGCGAUAGAUUCAGUGUAAUUUAAAUGCAAUUUUUUGUUGUCAAGAAUCAAUGAAUUAUUCUUUAAGGUUAUGUAACACUAUUGAUUACUAAUCUUUUUAGUUCAUUCUUAAAAAAAACUUAAUUCUUUGUUUUAGUUUGCACACAUAUAGGAAAGAAUUCCCUUCUAAUAAAAAUUAUUGCACAGAAUUGUUUUAAAUCUUUUUAAGCAAGGAAAGCCAAAUGCAGCAACUGAAUUCUGACUAUAGAAGAAACUAAUUCUCUCUUUCUAUAAAUCAUUAUUUUCAAAAUCAAUGACCUAGUUAUUCUUGUAGAAGGUAUAAGUAUUGCAAUUUUAAUUCAUUCUUGUUUUCUAUUUCAGAAAAGUGGUUGUAGAAAAGAAAAAAGCAGAAACCUUUUGAUUUUUUAGCAGUCACUAAAACUCUUUCUAAUUGUUCUGAAAAAAUAAAUAGCCUUAGAAACCGAAAGCGGUCAGGAUAUUCAUAUCUGACCGUGCUUUUCUCUUGAACGCUCCGAGCUAUAUGACCUGGAAACUUUAACGAAACCUUUAGAAUUUCCGGGGAGGCAAUUUCACCGAUGGUAUAUCUCGCGUGCUACUGUAUGCAACUGUGCCACCGACACGCGGAGUACGUCGCAGAACAAUGGCAACGCUUAAUGCCGUCUGACUGGUUGUAAUUUGCAUUUCUCUAGUUGGCAUCUCUCUGCCUCUGCGAAUAGGCCCUGCCGAAAUCGCAUCGAUGCAUCGAAGUCCGCUUAAUGUUUCCGUAAUGCUCCGCUGUGCAUUCCUUUGAACCGAUUUCCAACCAAAUUUGCCUAUAUCCGAACUAGAAAUUGCACGAAUACUGAAACUUAUGUUCUGAAAGCUGGCUAAUCUGAUAUAAAUUGGUUAAAUAUGCCAAUUAGAAGCAGUCUAAUUGAACCUGUGGCGCUUGGUGUCAUUCUUCCGCCGAAAAUCAUUGUGAAAGGACGUGUUAUCGUAUCGGCUUGAGCAGCAUCAUUUCAACUACGCAAAAAUUGAUGAUCGCGUUUGUGCUACGCUCGACACGUUCGAUUUGUUAUGAUUGUCGAACUAUCGACCUCCCCUCCCUACUUUAUAAUUCGAUAAUCGAAAUUGCGGCGUGGAAUGUCAUUGUACUCUCGAUACUCGUGGCGUUCAGACGUGUUAUUUUUCUUUGAGGUAUUGAUGAUAUUUGAAGAUUUCUUCUGAGUAUUAGUUUAAAAAAAUAUUUGUGACCGCGCGCAAUGCGGUUAAUAGAGUCAGUGUUUACUUCGUAAUAGUAUUUUUAAUUCUUUAGAAUACAAUUGUUAAUUAAUUUAAUAAAAUAGAUAUUCGCGAAAUUAGAAUCAGUGUUUGUUCACCGAUAACUAAACGUUAAUAUUCUUUUAUUUAUUUUUUUAUUUUUUAAAUAUUCGUUUCGCGUGCAUUAGAAUCAGUGUAUUAAGAGAAUAAAGUGAUCAUCAUUAUCAGCAUUGUAUCAAAAAGUUCUACUUUCUCUUAUUUGAUGACGACUCCAAGAUAAUUUCUUAUAUGUUAUGACAACAAUGAUGGCAAUGCAGAUUUUUUGCAUCUAUUGGUGAGUCGCAUGCAUUUUAUUUCCUCUGGUCACUCAAUCAUGUCGUAGGAUGAAAGAUCCGAAUCGACACGAGUGAUUGGUUGUAUUAUGUAGAAUUUUAUACGAGCAUAGUGACCAUGGGUAUUUAUUAUACUCAUGAAUAAUAACAUUUCUUUUUCUUGUGUUUUAUUUAUUAAUAUAGGAUAGGGUCUUCUUGUACAUCGCGUUGUAACAUAAUUAAAUGAUUUUUAUAAUUAAUUUAU